GACCUCAGAAUCAGGUUAGGGAUCACCAGCCUGAACCUUAAGCCAUAUCGAAUAAGCGGAGGA
rnacentral:rRNA from 1 species